UACGUAGGGUGCGAGCGUUAAUCGGAAUUACUGGGCGUAAAGCGUGCGCAGGCGGAUUGUUAAGCAAGAUGUGAAAUCCCCGGGCUUAACCUGGGAAUGGCAUUUUGAACUGGCAGUCUAGAGUGCGUCAGAGGGGGGUGGAAUUCCACGUGUAGCAGUGAAAUGCGUAGAGAUGUGGAGGAACACCGAUGGCGAAGGCAGCCCCCUGGGAUGACACUGACGCUCAUGUACGAAAGCGUGGGUAGCAAAC
rnacentral:rRNA from 1 species